rnacentral:rRNA from 1 species
UACAGAGGUCUCGAGCGUUAGGCGGAAUCACUGGGCUUAAAGCGUGUGUAGGCGGGUCGUUAAGUACCUUGUGAAAUCCCAUGGCUCAACCAUGGAACUGCUGGGUAUACUGGCGAUCUUGUGCAACCUAGGGGCGAGCGGAACAGAUGGUGGAGCGGUGAAAUGCGUAGAUAUCAUCUGGAACGCCAAUGGUGAAAACAGCUCGCUGGGGGGUUUGCAAGACGCUGAGACACGAAAGCCAGGGGGAGCGAAC